rnacentral:lncRNA from 1 species
GUCGCAUGUGUGCACACACAUUCAUAUACACUUAUUCUCACAAACACAUACAUACAUACUUAUAUACCCUUAAACACAUACAUACAUACAUACACAUGCACACACACACACACACACACACGCAUAUACUCCCCCACAUACGUGCACAUACAUACAGACACACAGAGGUACCUACUAACACUUACUCAUGCACACACUCAUAUACACUUACACUCAC